AGCAGCCGCGGUAAUUCCAGCUCCAAUAGCGUAUAUUAAAGUUGCUGCAGUUAAAAAGCUCGUAGUUGAAUUUCAGGCCUGGCUGGACGGUCCGCCCUUCGGGUGAGUACUGUCUGUGGUCGGGUCCUACCUUCUGGCGAAGCGUCAUGGCCUUAACCGGCCGUAGCGGGGAACCAGGACUUUUACUGUGAAAAAAUUAGAGUGUUCAAAGCAGGCAAUCGCUUGGAUACAUUAGCAUGGAAUAAUGGAAUAGGACAAUGGUUCUAUUUGUUGGUUUCUAGGACCGUUGUAAUGAUUAAUAGGGAUAGUUGGGGGCAUUAGUAUUCAAUUGUCAGAGGUGAAAUUCUUGGAUUUAUUGAAGACUAACUACUGCGAAAGCAUUUGCCAAGGAUGUUUUCAUUAAUCAAGAGCGAAAGUUAGGGGAUCGAAGACGAUCAGAUACCGUCGUAGUCUUAACCAUAAACUAUGCCGACUAGGAAUCGGGCGAUGUUGAAAAAAUGACGC
rnacentral:rRNA from 1 species